rnacentral:rRNA from 1 species
AGUGAACGCUGGCGGUAGGCCUAACACAUGCCAGUCGAACGAGUGGCGGACGUGUGAGGAAUACCUCUGAAUCUACUCUGUCGUGGGGGCUAACGUAGGGCAACUUACGCUACUACCGCAUACGUUUGAAUGAGCCGAUGUCGGAUUGGCUAGUUGGUGUGGUAAAGGCCCACCAGGGCGACGAUCCGUAGCUGGUCUGAGAGGAUGAUCAGCCACACUGGAACUGAGACACGGUCCAGACUCCUACGGGAGGCAGCAGUGGGGAAUAUUGGACAAUGGGCGAAAGCCUGACCCAGCCAUACCGCGUGGGUGAAGAAGGCCUUCGGGUUGUAAAGCCCGUUUGUUGGGAAAGCGGUACCCAAAGAAUAAGCACCGGCUAACUUCGUGCCAGCAGCCGCGGUAAUAC